rnacentral:misc_RNA from 1 species
UUAUCAGCAGCUUCUUUAAACUCCUUGUUCCUAACAAAAUGAGUCUGGUUGUAAUCAGUUUUGAAUUCCUGCAAAAGGGCUUCAAACUCAGCCUCAUUCAGGUUCUUGUUGAUCUCAGUGUUGAAAAGGGUCUCCAUUUCAUCAAAAUCAGUAGUGUAAAAUCUUGGUGUCAAAAGGGACUCUUUGAUUCCUUGUUUCUGAGGUUUCUUGGAGGGCUUUGAAGUUGGUGGGGUGGUAGUGGCGGCUGACAUUCUAACUGUGAACGGCAGUCUGCGACUGCUCAGCCGUGCAGUGGUGGUGUUGAUGGUGUUGAAUUUGGUUAUGGGUUUUACUAAUGCCAUUUCUG